rnacentral:rRNA from 1 species
AGCGUAGGUUGACAUAUAAGUCAGCUGUGAAAGUUUACGGCUCAACCGUGAAAUUGCAGUUGAUACUGUAUGUCUUGAGUGUACAAGAGGUGGGCGGAAUUCGUGGUGUAGCGGUGAAAUGCUUAGAUAUCACGAAGAACUCCAAUUGCGAGGGCAGCUCACUGGGGUACAACUGACACUGAGGCUCGAAAGUGUGGGUAUCAAACA